GGUUAAGCGACUAAGCGUACACGGUGGAUGCCCUGGCAGUCAGAGGCGAUGAAGGGCGUGCUAAUCUGCGAUAAGCGCCGGUAAGGUGAUAUGAACCGUUAUAACCGGCGAUACCCGAAUGGGGAAACCCAGUGUGACUCGUCACACUAUCAUUAACUGAAUCCAUAGGUUAAUGAGGCGAACCGGGGGAACUGAAACAUCUAAGUACCCCGAGGAAAAGAAAUCAACCGAGAUUCCCCCAGUAGCGGCGAGCGAACGGGGAGGAGCCCAGAGCCUGAAUCAGCAUGUGUGUUAGUGGAAGCGUCUGGAAAGGCGCGCGAUACAGGGUGACAGCCCCGUACACAAAAGCGCAUGUGCUGUGAGCUCGAUGAGUAGGGCGGGACACGUGGUAUCCUGUCUGAAUAUGGGGGGACCAUCCUCCAAGGCUAAAUACUCCUGACUGACCGAUAGUGAACCAGUACCGUGAGGGAAAGGCGAAAAGAACCCCGGCGAGGGGAGUGAAAAAGAACCUGAAACCGUGUACGUACAAGCAGUGGGAGCACAGGUUUACCUGUGUGACUGCGUACCUUUUGUAUAAUGGGUCAGCGACUUAUAUUCUGUAGCAAGGUUAACCGAAUAGGGGAGCCGGAGGGAAACCGAGUCUUAAUUGGGCGUUAAGUUGCAGGGUAUAGACCCGAAACCCGGUGAUCUAGCCAUGGGCAGGUUGAAGGUUGGGUAACACUAACUGGAGGACCGAACCGACUAAUGUUGAAAAAUUAGCGGAUGACCUGUGGCUGGGGGUGAAAGGCCAAUCAAACCGGGAGAUAGCUGGUUCUCCCCGAAAGCUAUUUAGGUAGCGCCUCGUGAAUUCAUCUCCGGGGGUAGAGCACUGUUUCGGCUAGGGGGCCAUCCCGGCUUACCAACCCGAUGCAAACUGCGAAUACCGGAGAAUGUUAUCACGGGAGACACACGGCGGGUGCUAACGUCCGUCGUGAAGAGGGAAACAACCCAGACCGCCAGCUAAGGUCCCAAAGUCAUGGUUAAGUGGGAAACGAUGUGGGAAGGCCCAGACAGCCAGGAUGUUGGCUUAGAAGCAGCCAUCAUUUAAAGAAAGCGUAAUAGCUCACUGGUCGAGUCGGCCUGCGCGGAAGAUGUAACGGGGCUAAACCAUGCACCGAAGCUGCGGCAGCGANNNNNNNNNNNNNNNNNNNNNNNNNNNNNNNNNNNNNNNNNNNNNNNNNNNNNNNNNNNNNNNNNNNNNNNNNNNNNNNNNNNNNNNNNNNNNNNNNNNNGACGAGGCACUACGGUGCUGAAGCAACAAAUGCCCUGCUUCCAGGAAAAGCCUCUAAGCAUCAGGUAACAUCAAAUCGUACCCCAAACCGACACAGGUGGUCAGGUAGAGAAUACCAAGGCGCUUGAGAGAACUCGGGUGAAGGAACUAGGCAAAAUGGUGCCGUAACUUCGGGAGAAGGCACGCUGACACGUAGGUGAAGUGAUUUACUCAUGGAGCUGAAGUCAGUCGAAGAUACCAGCUGGCUGCAACUGUUUAUUAAAAACACAGCACUGUGCAAACACGAAAGUGGACGUAUACGGUGUGACGCCUGCCCGGUGCCGGAAGGUUAAUUGAUGGGGUCAGCGCAAGCGAAGCUCCUGAUCGAAGCCCCGGUAAACGGCGGCCGUAACUAUAACGGUCCUAAGGUAGCGAAAUUCCUUGUCGGGUAAGUUCCGACCUGCACGAAUGGCGUAAUGAUGGCCAGGCUGUCUCCACCCGAGACUCAGUGAAAUUGAACUCGCUGUGAAGAUGCAGUGUACCCGCGGCAAGACGGAAAGACCCCGUGAACCUUUACUAUAGCUUGACACUGAACAUUGAGCCUUGAUGUGUAGGAUAGGUGGGAGGCUUUGAAGCGUGGACGCCAGUCUGCGUGGAGCCGACCUUGAAAUACCACCCUUUAAUGUUUGAUGUUCUAACGUGGACCCGUAAUCCGGGUUGCGGACAGUGUCUGGUGGGUAGUUUGACUGGGGCGGUCUCCUCCUAAAGAGUAACGGAGGAGCACGAAGGUUGGCUAAUCCUGGUCGGACAUCAGGAGGUUAGUGCAAUGGCAUAAGCCAGCUUGACUGCGAGCGUGACGGCGCGAGCAGGUGCGAAAGCAGGUCAUAGUGAUCCGGUGGUUCUGAAUGGAAGGGCCAUCGCUCAACGGAUAAAAGGUACUCCGGGGAUAACAGGCUGAUACCGCCCAAGAGUUCAUAUCGACGGCGGUGUUUGGCACCUCGAUGUCGGCUCAUCACAUCCUGGGGCUGAAGUAGGUCCCAAGGGUAUGGCUGUUCGCCAUUUAAAGUGGUACGCGAGCUGGGUUUAGAACGUCGUGAGACAGUUCGGUCCCUAUCUGCCGUGGGCGCUGGAGAACUGAGGGGGGCUGCUCCUAGUACGAGAGGACCGGAGUGGACGCAUCACUGGUGUUCGGGUUGUCAUGCCAAUGGCACUGCCCGGUAGCUAAAUGCGGAAGAGAUAAGUGCUGAAAGCAUCUAAGCACGAAACUUGCCCCGAGAUGAGUUCUCCCUGAGACUUAGAGUCUCCUGAAGGAACGUUGAAGACGACGACGUUGAUAGGCCGGGUGUGUAAGCGCAGCGAUGCGUUGAGCUAACCGGUACUAAUGAACCGUGAGGCUUAACCUU
rnacentral:rRNA from 1 species